AUUGAACGCUGGCGGCAGGCCUAACACAUGCAAGUCGAGCGGCAGCGGGAAAGUAGCUUGCUACUUUUGCCGGCGAGCGGCGGACGGGUGAGUAAUGCCUGGGAAAUUGCCCAGUCGAGGGGGAUAACAGUUGGAAACGACUGCUAAUACCGCAUACGCCCUACGGGGGAAAGCAGGGGACCUUCGGGCCUUGCGCGAUUGGAUAUGCCCAGGUGGGAUUAGCUAGUUGGUGAGGUAAUGGCUCACCAAGGCGACGAUCCCUAGCUGGUCUGAGAGGAUGAUCAGCCACACUGGAACUGAGACACGGUCCAGACUCCUACGGGAGGCAGCAGUGGGGAAUAUUGCACAAUGGGGGAAACCCUGAUGCAGCCAUGCCGCGUGUGUGAAGAAGGCCUUCGGGUUGUAAAGCACUUUCAGCGAGGAGGAAAGGUCAGUAGCUAAUAUCUGCUGGCUGUGACGUUACUCGCAGAAGAAGCACCGGCUAACUCCGUGCCAGCCGCCGCCGUAA
rnacentral:rRNA from 1 species